rnacentral:rRNA from 1 species
UACGUAGGGGGCAAGCGUUGUCCGGAUUUAUUGGGCGUAAAGAGCGUGUAGGCGGUUUGGUAGGUCCGUUGUGAAAACUCGAGGCUCAACCUCGAGACGCCGAUGGAAACCAUCAGACUAGAGUCCGGAAGAGGAGAGUGGAAUUCCUGGUGUAGCGGUGAAAUGCGCAGAUAUCGGGAGGAACACCGGUGGCGAAGGCGGUUCUCUGGGCCUGUGCUGACGCUGAGGAGCGAAAGCGUGGGGAGCGAACAGG